UGGGGAAUCUUGCGCAAUGGGCGAAAGCCUGACGCAGCAACGCCGCGUGCGGGAUGAAGGCCUUCGGGUUGUAAACGACUUCUAGUGGGGACGCGUUACCCACAGAAGAAGCCCCGGCCAACUACGUGCCAGCAGCCGCGGUAACACGUAGGGGGCAAGCGUUGUCCGGAUUUAUUGGGCGUAAAGAGCUCGUAGGUGGUUCGAUAAGUCGGGUGUGAAACCUCCAGGCUCAACCUGGAGACGCCACCCGAUACUGUCGGACUAGAGUCCAGUAGGGGAGCGUGGAAUUCCUGGUGUAGCGGUGAAAUGCGCAGAUAUCAGGAGGAACACCAGCGGCGAAGGCGGCGCUCUGGGCUGGCACUGACACUGAGGAGCGAAAGCGUGGGGA
rnacentral:rRNA from 1 species